CAGGCUCGGAAAAGGAGCCCUGGGCCCUUCCCCAACCACAGCCAAGCUAGAAGAUGAGCUGCAGGCAAAAUGCAAACUACAGCCCUGCACUCCGCCCUCCCCUCCGAGGACCAGACUGUCUCCAACAAGCAGCUGGCUGACAGCUACAGAAGAGUCUCUGCCAUACCUGGAAAUGCCAAGAAUGGAACACAAGAUAUUUUACACAGCCUUCCCAUGAAAACUGCUGUUUAUACUUAGUUGUAUUUAAAACACACAUGCAAGCCUAAAAGAAGUGAGCAAUAAUUUCUAUUGGGACCGUGCAGAUAAAGACAAACAAGCCAAAUCUCAGUAAAUCAACUUAAAUUCCAGGAUUCCUCAAUAUAGAGAGAACAACACAUUCUGCAGUCAACGCAGGCAGACAAAAGAAGAUGCAGAUCUCUGGUCCAAGAGCCACAGAUGACCUUUGAAAGCCCUGUGUAACUCUCUCCAAGGAUACACCCAAUGGUUUAAAUGCUAAUGUAACAUAAAGAAGUUAUUAAAUACAUUACAGAAA